CUCCCCGGGCCCCGCCCCCGCCGCUGCCCUUCCCGGGACGGGACCCCCUCCUCGCCCGCUUGCCCCCUGCACCCCAGCGGCCCCCCUCCUUCCUCCCUGUUGCGAGUGCGCCCGAGCGUUGACUUUUCGGUGACUCCCUUUCCCCCGCCUCGCAGAGACCUUCUGUGGCUCCCCGCCCCCCCCAUCCGGCCUCUCAGACGUGGCUCCUGGAGGCAGGGGGUGGGGUGGGGGGAAGAAGGUAUAAAGGGCGGGAGACCUCGCGGGCCGAGACCCGAGACGUGGCGCGCCCACCCUGCCGGCCUCAUCUCCAGCCACGCCGCUGCCCUGCCUCCUCUGUGGAGCGGAGCCCAGAUCGCCACCCAGAAGAGGCGAAGAUGUGGCCGUAGGUCAGGAACGCCCUCAAAGGGAAACCUGGAUAUUUGUGAUCUUUACGCCACGAGGAGAUAGUGUGAAUGUCAUGAAAAACCUCCGUCCGGAAAUCGUGGUCUCCAGGCGUCUGCAUCGUCACUGGCUUUUCCUACAGAGGAGCCAGGGACGACAUAUCACAGUCCUCAACCACAGUGUUCUUGCUCCCCGGUCUUCUUUCUUUUAGAUCCAUGGCUUUUAAGGAUUCAUUGAACUGCUGGAUCAUCUGAUCAACCCCAUCAGUGUUUCUUUGUUUGCAGAUGGCCACAUUUUGGUGAAAAGAUAGGCCAUUUUAUGCCACGCUAGGAUUGCCUAGUGCUCUUUGCUGUUCACGUAUGUAAAGACCCAUGAUUACGGCUA